GUCAGCAGCUAUAUCACCUGCAGCUCAGACUGAGUCAUCUUUUUGAAGCUAAGCAGGUUUGUGCCUGGCCAGUACUUGGAUGGCAGACCAGCUGUGUUGCUGCUGGAA
rnacentral:rRNA from 1 species